UCCUCAGUGUUGCUGUGACCUCCGCCUUGCAGCUCGUAGACGUCUCUCUCUUUCGUGGAUCAACUCCGGUCUUUUCCUUUCACAGCGGCGUUGGUUAACUUGGUGCCACCUUUGUGUUCCUCUCAGAGGUCUCGUGUGGUUUUAGAGGGAUAACGGAGGAGGUGAAUUAAGGCCCACAAUCCUCCAUCCCCCACGUUGCAUUAAGGAGGUUCCACCGGCUCAGCUUCAGAACCUCCAGGUCCCUGGGAACGGCUUUAGGAGACCCCGCGGCCCCUGCAGAGGGUGAAUCACUGCACUGAGCCGGCCCCGGGCCACUAAAAACACAGGGACUCACACACAGAGACACGCACGGACCCCCGUCAUCUGAAAUCUGAUGAGCCACCUCCAAAUCACAUCAGGCAAAUCGAGGCUGAGGAACCAGUGGCCCGUAAUGUAACCAGCCAAGUGGGAAAUGACACAGUGAUGCACAGCUGGACCUCCGCUCUCCCGUUUGCCAUCGCGUCUGAUCAGCGCGGCCACGGGGACUCGCGGGGUCGGAGCAUGUAAGAGGUGGAGGAGGUUCCAGGGGUUACCUGGUUAAUCCUGUUUUUGGUGGUGAGAUCAAAGCAGCUACCUGGGCUUCUGUUCCGUAACGCUACAGACAGCGGAGGGUCAAGUCAACGGUUCAAACUAUCCAGCAGCGGAACCUGUGAAUACCUUUAUUGUCCC
rnacentral:lncRNA from 1 species